rnacentral:ncRNA from 1 species
AAGGUUUGGUCCCAACCUUGAAGUCAGUUCUUAUUUAAUAUACACAUGCAAGUCUCCGCACCCCUGUGAAAACGCCCUCAUUUUCCCCAGUAGGGAACAGGAGCCGGUAUCAGGCACAACUUUCUGCCCAUAACACCUAGCCUCGCCACACCCACAAGGGACUUCAGCAGUGAUUAACAUUGAGCAUAAGCGACAGCUUGACUCAGUUAAACUAAACAGAGCCGGCCAAUCUGGUGCCAGCCGCCGCGGUUACACCAUUGUGGCUCAAAUUGACCUCUAUCGGCGUAAAGCGUGAUUAAAGAAUAAAUUUUUUUGGAGUUAAACUAAAAUUAAGCUGUGACACGCUUCUUACUUAAGAAAAUCAUAUACGAAAGCUACUCCAACACUACUAACUUGAAUUCACGACAACUGAAAAACAAACUGGGAUUAGAUACCCCACUAUGCUCAGUCGUAAACUUUAACUUACACCCCCCCCUCGCCAGGGAACUACGAGCAAAGCUUAAAACCCAAAGGACUUGACGGUACCCCAUAUCCCCCUAGAGGAGCCUGUCCUAUAAUCGAUAACCCCCGUUUUACCUCACCAUUUUUUGUUAAUCAGCCUGUAUACCUCCGUCGUCAGCUUACCACGUGAGCGUCAGUGAGCUCAAUGUUUUUUCAACCACACGUCAGGUCAAGGUGCAGCAAAUAAAAUGGAAAGAGAUGGGCUACACUUUCUACUCUAGAAAACACAAAAAACUUAAUGAAACUCAGUUAGAAGGCGGAUUUAGUAGUAAAAUAAAACCAGAGAGUUUAUUUAAACACGGCACUGGGGUGUGUACACACCGCCCGUCACCCUCCUCAAUGCUACAAAACAGUAUUUUACACUUUUUAGCUUCACAGAAGAGGCAAGUCGUAACAUGGUAAGUACACCGGAAGGUAUGCUUGGAAU